GAAUAAAAAGGAAGCAGCAGGUGCAGUAUCAACAUUGGAAGAAAUCUCCCAUUCUCACAUCACAGGAAAUCCCCCAAAGUAUAUUCUCUAGUCACAUUUCUUCCAUGAAGUGGUUGACUUCUACAACCAUCUGCAUCAGCAAAAGGAGGAAAGACAGCCUGGAGUAUUCAGCAAAAUAAAGAUCUUGAACACAUUUCUUGUAAGGUGAGUAACUUACAAAGAAAGGCCAAAAAUGCAUAGCACUAUAAAGUAUUUUAAUGAUCAACAGCAACAGCAAAAGGCAACAUUUCAAAAAGGUGUAGCAGACUUGAACAUCUCAACAGUCUGUGGAAGCAGUGGUUCUUAAUAAAUAUGAAAGGCUGGAAAAACAUAAUAGAAGACAUUUGCCAAGCUUACAAAAACUCGAGUUCCUCUCAAUGAUAUCAACAGGAAUUCUGAGCAUUCAUCAUGGAGAGGAACAUGGUGACCUUAUUGAAAGCUCACCUUCAUGUCAGUAAGUUUGACAUGCUCAUCUUCAUGUCAGUAAGACAUUACAUUGCCAAACAAAGCAAAUUUCAUAUAGACUAAGCUAAAACUCAGGAGUGUUUAUGAAAUAUGACAACAGUCUGUUGCCAAAGGGUCUAUACUCCUAUCAAAACAAUUUGAAGAAACUGAUUCUAAAAAAAAAAAAAAAA